GGGUUGUGAGGUUAAGCGACUAAGCGUACACGGUGGAUGCCCUGGCAGUCAGAGGCGAUGAAGGACGUGCUAAUCUGCGAAAAGCGUCGGUAAGGUGAUAUGAACCGUUAUAACCGGCGAUGUCCGAAUGGGGAAACCCAGUGCAAUUCGUUGCACUAUCGUUAACUGAAUACAUAGGUUAACGAGGCGAACCGGGGGAACUGAAACAUCUAAGUACCCCGAGGAAAAGAAAUCAACCGAGAUUCCCCCAGUAGCGGCGAGCGAACGGGGAGCAGCCCAGAGUCUGAAUCAGCUUGUGUGUUAGUGGAACGGUCUGGAAAGUCCGACGGUACAGGGUGAUAGUCCCGUACACCAAAAUGCACAGGUUGUGAACUCGAAGAGUAGGGCGGGACACGUGGUAUCCUGUCUGAAUAUGGGGGGACCAUCCUCCAAGGCUAAAUACUCCUGACUGACCGAUAGUGAACCAGUACCGUGAGGGAAAGGCGAAAAGAACCCCGGCGAGGGGAGUGAAAAAGAACCUGAAACCGUGUACGUACAAGCAGUGGGAGCACCUUCGGGUGUGACUGCGUACCUUUUGUAUAAUGGGUCAGCGACUUAUAUUCUGUAGCAAGGUUAACCGUAUAGGGGAGCCGCAGGGAAACCGAGUCUUAACUGGGCGUUAAGUUGCAGGGUAUAGACCCGAAACCCGGUGAUCUAGCCAUGGGCAGGUUGAAGGUUGGGUAACACUAACUGGAGGACCGAACCGACUAAUGUUGAAAAAUUAGCGGAUGACUUGUGGCUGGGGGUGAAAGGCCAAUCAAACCGGGAGAUAGCUGGUUCUCCCCGAAAGCUAUUUAGGUAGCGCCUCGUGAAUUCAUCUUCGGGGGUAGAGCACUGUUUCGGCUAGGGGGUCAUCCCGACUUACCAACCCGAUGCAAACUACGAAUACCGAAGAAUGUUAUCACGGGAGACACACGGCGGGUGCUAACGUCCGUCGUGAAGAGGGAAACAACCCAGACCGCCAGCUAAGGUCCCAAAGUCAUGGUUAAGUGGGAAACGAUGUGGGAAGGCACAGACAGCCAGGAUGUUGGCUUAGAAGCAGCCAUCAUUUAAAGAAAGCGUAAUAGCUCACUGGUCGAGUCGGCCUGCGCGGAAGAUGUAACGGGGCUAAACCAUGCACCGAAGCUGCGGCAGCGACACUAUGUGUUGUUGGGUAGGGGAGCGUUCUGUAAGCCUGCGAAGGUGACCUGUGAGGGUUGCUGGAGGUAUCAGAAGUGCGAAUGCUGACAUAAGUAACGAUAAAGCGGGUGAAAAGCCCGCUCGCCGGAAGACCAAGGGUUCCUGUCCAACGUUAAUCGGGGCAGGGUGAGUCGACCCCUAAGGCGAGGCCGAAAGGCGUAGUCGAUGGGAAACAGGUUAAUAUUCCUGUACUUGGUGUUACUGCGAAGGGGGGACGGAGAAGGCUAUGUUAGCCGGGCGACGGUUGUCCCGGUUUAAGCAUGUAGGCUGGUUGUCCAGGCAAAUCCGGAUAAUCAAGGCUGAGGUGUGAUGACGAGGCACUACGGUGCUGAAGUAACAAAUGCCCUGCUUCCAGGAAAAGCCUCUAAGCAUCAGGUAACAUUAAAUCGUACCCCAAACCGACACAGGUGGUCAGGUAGAGAAUACCAAGGCGCUUGAGAGAACUCGGGUGAAGGAACUAGGCAAAAUGGUGCCGUAACUUCGGGAGAAGGCACGCUGGUGUGUAGGUGAAGUCCCUGCGGAUGGAGCUGAGACCAGUCGAAGAUACCAGCUGGCUGCAACUGUUUAUUAAAAACACAGCACUGUGCAAACACGAAAGUGGACGUAUACGGUGUGACGCCUGCCCGGUGCCGGAAGGUUAAUUGAUGGGGUUAUCCGUAAGGAGAAGCUCUUGAUCGAAGCCCCGGUAAACGGCGGCCGUAACUAUAACGGUCCUAAGGUAGCGAAAUUCCUUGUCGGGUAAGUUCCGACCUGCACGAAUGGCGUAAUGAUGGCCAGGCUGUCUCCACCCGAGACUCAGUGAAAUUGAACUCGCUGUGAAGAUGCAGUGUACCCGCGGCAAGACGGAAAGACCCCGUGAACCUUUACUAUAGCUUGACACUGAACAUUGAGCCUUGAUGUGUAG
rnacentral:rRNA from 1 species